rnacentral:rRNA from 1 species
AGCCUGAACGCUGGCGGCGUGGCUAAGACAUGCAAGUCGUACGGGUGUAGCAAUACACCAGUGGCGGACGGGUGAGUAAUGUAUCGCUAACGUACCCCGGAUUCUGGGAUAGCUGCCCGAAAGGGCAGGUAAUACCGGAUGAUAUAUCCUUUUCGCAUGAUGAGGAUCUCAAAGGGAAACCGUUCUGGGAGCGGGCGAUAUCGUAUCAGCUAGUUGGUGAGGUAACGGCUCACCAAGGCGACGACGCGUAGCCGGACUGAGAGGUUGGCCGGCCACAUUGGGACUGAGACACUGCCCAGACUCCUACGGGGGGCUGCAGUAACGAAUCUUCCGCAAUGCACGCAAGUGUGACGGAGCGACGCCGCGUGUGGACGAAGUCCUUCGGGAUGUAAACCACUGUCAGGGGUUAGAAAGUUCUGAUCAACCCAGAGGAGGCACGGCUAACUCUGCGCCAGCAGCCGCGUAA